CAGUCGAGCGGUAGAGAAGGAGCUUGCUUCUUCUUGAGAGCGGCGGACGGGUGAGUAAUGCCUAGGAAUCUGCCUGGUAGUGGGGGACAACGUUUCGAAAGGAACGCUAAUACCGCAUACGUCCUACGGUAGAAAGUGGGGGAUCUUCGGACCUCACGCUAUCAGAUGACCCUAGGUCGGAUUACCUUGUAGGUGAAGUAAUGGCUCACCUAGGCGACGAUCCGUAACUGGUCUGAGAGGAUGAUCAGUCACACUGGAACUGAGACACGGUCCAGACUCCUACGGGAGGCACCAGUGGGGAAUAUUGGACAAUGGGCGAAAGCCUGAUCCAGCCAUGCCGCGUGUGUGAAGAAGGUCUUCGGAUUGUAAAGCACUUUAAGUUGGGAGGAAGGGUUGUAGCUUAAUACGCUGCAACUUUGACGUUACCAACUGAAUAAGCACCGGCUAACUCUGUGCCAUCAGCCGCGGUAAUACAGAGGGUGCAAGCGUUAAUCGGAAUUACUGGCCGUUAAAGCCGCGCGCUAGGCGGUCUUGAUAAGACUGAGUUGUUGAAAUCCCCAGGCUCUAACCGUGGGAAGCUGCAUCCGAUAACUGUGCUGGCUAGAGUACAAGUAGAGGAGAGGUGGAAUUUCACUGUGUAGCGCUGAAAUGCAGUAGAAUAUAGGAAGGAACACCAGUGAGCGAAAGGCGACUCACCUGGACUGAUACUCGACGCUGAGGUGCGACAAGCGAUGCGGAGCAAACAGGAGUUAGAUACCCUGAGUAGUCCGACGCUCGUAAACGAUGUCAACUAGCCUGUUGGGAAUCCUUGAUGAUUUUAGCUGGCGCAGCUAACGCACUAAGUUGACCGCCUGGAUGGAGUACGGUCGCAAGAUUAAAACUCAAAUGAAUUGACGGGGGCCCGCACAAGCGGUGGAGCAUGUGGUUUAAUUCGAAGCAACGCGAAGAACCUUACCUGGCCUUGACAUGCAGAGAACUUUCCAGAGAUGGAUUGGUGCCUUCGGGAACUCUGACACAGGUGCUGCAUGGCUGUCGUCAGCUCGUGUCGUGAGAUGUUGGGUUAAGUCCCGUAACGAGCGCAACCCUUGUCCUUAGUUACCAGCACAUUAUGGUGGGCACUCUAAGGAGACUGCCGGUGACAAACCGGAGGAAGGUGGGGAUGACGUCAAGUCAUCAUGGCCCUUACGGCCAGGGCUACACACGUGCUACAAUGGUCGGUACAGAGGGUUGCCAAGCCGCGAGGUGGAGCUAAUCCCAUAAAACCGAUCGUAGUCCGGAUUGGAGUCUGCAACUCGACUCCAUGAAGUCGGAAUCGCUAGUAAUCGUGGAUCAGAAUGCCACGGUGAAUACGUUCCCGGGCCUUGUACACACCGCCCGUCACACCAUGGGAGUGGGUUGCACCAGAAGUAGCUAGUCUAACC
rnacentral:rRNA from 1 species